AAAAAAAAAAAAAACUUAAAAUCUUCUUCUUCAACCUCACUGCACGCGCCUCCUCCCCUUUGAGAAAACUAAGCCGUCGACGACAGCUUAGUUUUUUUCGAACCCGACGCCGAUGAGCAGUCGGCGAUUCGAAGCCCCUCAGCGCGCCAGCUGGGCAGAGCAGACGUCUCGUCCGCUACGUUCCGCCGAGAGCCCAGAUCCGAAGGCGUCCGCUGCGUUCCGUCGAGAGUCGCUCGCCCAAGCUUUGCCGGUCGUUCAGUCGUCGCUCGCGGUCAAUCUCGCCGCGUAACCCUCCCCUAUAACCUCCGCUGACCGACGCCUCCCUUCACUGCCCAGAUCUGAACUCCGCUGCACCGCCCCUUCACUCAUCUGGACCACGAAGCAGUCGCCGCCACUUGAUUCACGCUCAGACGAGCCUCUGAUCGUCUAAUCCCGACGGUAAAGCUCGCCAACCCGCACUGCUCUCCGUGGGUUGCAGGUCGAUGCCCAGAAUCUUGAGUUCGACAGUCACGCAAGGGUGCAUCGGAUCAGUCUUUUCUUGUCGUUUGUACUACUAAUAGUAAGGGUCGUCGAAACUUGUGGAUUUAGAUUUUGGAGAAGCUUUGAAACUAAAAGGAUGCUGUUAAGAGGAUUUUGGUUGUGGUUUCGACAAGCUUUUGGGCCUAAUUCAAGAUCCAUCUAAGCUAGGAGGAAGAUUAAUUUGCUUGUCGCUUAGACAAAAUUUUUUACUUCGAGGUAAGGGUAGAGAUGCACCGGCGAUGGCGCAGCAAAAUUCGUGAUCGUGUCACUGGGA